rnacentral:rRNA from 1 species
GACGAACGCUGGCGGCGUGCUUAACACAUGCAAGUCGAACGGAAAGGCCCUGCUUUUGUGGGGUGCUCGAGUGGCGAACGGGUGAGUAACACGUGAGUAACCUGCCCUUGACUUUGGGAUAACUUCAGGAAACUGGGGCUAAUACCGGAUAGGAGCUCCUGCUGCAUGGUGGGGGUUGGAAAGUUUUGGCGGUUGGGGAUGGACUCGCGGCUUAUCAGCUUGUUGGUGGGGUAGUGGCUUAUCAAGGCUUUGACGGGUAGCCGGCCUGAGAGGGUGACCGGCCACAUUGGGACUGAGAUACGGCCCAGACUCCUACGGGAGGCAGCAGUGGGGAAUAUUGCACAAUGGGCGGAAGCCUGAUGCAGCAACGCCGCGUGCGGGAUGACGGCCUUCGGGUUGUAAACCGCUUUCGCCUGUGACGAAGCGUGAGUGACGGUAAUGGGUAAAGAAGCACCGGCUAACUACGUG